rnacentral:tRNA from 1 species
GUCCCGGUACCGUAACAGGACUGAAAAUCCUCGUGUCGGCGGUUCGACUCCGUCCCUGGCCA